rnacentral:rRNA from 1 species
GACGUAGGGCGCGAGCGUUGUCCGGAUUUAUUGGGCGUAAAGAGCUCGUAGGCGGCUUGUCGCGUCGACUGUGAAUCCCGACGGCUCAACUGCGGGUCUGCAGUCGAUACGGGCAGGCUAGAGUUCGGUAGGGGAGACGUGGAAUUCCUGGUGUAGCGGUGAAAUGCGCAGAUAUCUGGAGGAACACCGGUGGCGGAGGCGGCAUCCUGGACCGGCAUGACGCUGAGGCGGCGAAAGCGUGGGUAGCAAACGAGGGA